rnacentral:misc_RNA from 1 species
AAGUCGUAACAAGGUUUCCGUAGGUGAACCUGCGGAAGGAUCAUUACUGAAUUGUCAACACGAGUUGUUGCUGGUCCUCAAAUGGGGGCAUGUGCACACUCUGUUUACACAUCCACUCACACCUGUGCACCCUCUGUAGUUCUGUGGCUGGGGGACUCUGUCCUCCUGCUGCGGUUCUAUGUCUUUACACACACUCUGUAUUAAAGUCUCAUGGAAUGUAUGCCGCGUUUAACGCAAUAAAAUACAACUUUCAGCAACGGAUCUCUUGGCUCUC